rnacentral:rRNA from 2 species
UUCGGUGGCCAUGGCGGUGGGGUCACACCCGUUCCCAUCCCGAACACGGCAGUUAAGCCCGCCAGCGCCAAUGGUACUUGGAGGUAGACCUCCUGGGAGAGUAGGACGCCGCCGAAU